UACGGGGGGGCAAGCGUUGUUCGGAAUUACUGGGCGUAAAGGGCCAGUAGGCGGCCAACUAAGUCGGAUGUGAAAUCCCCAGGCUCAACCUGGGAACUGCAUCCGAUACUGGAUGGCUUGAAUUCGGGAGAGGGAUGCAGAAUUCCAGGUGUAGCGGUGAAAUGCGUAGAUAUCUGGAGGAAUACCGGUGGCGAAGGCGGCAUCCUGGACCGACAUUGACGCUGAACGGCGAAAGCUAGGGGAGCAAACGGG
rnacentral:rRNA from 1 species